GGGAGGAAGAAUAAAGAGACUAAAAUAACAUAUUAAAUAGGUCUUGCUGCUCUGUAUGGAUAAUGUGAUGAGCAAUCGCGAUGGAAUUGUCUUAGUUCAGUGUUUAUGAGUUUAUUGCCCCACCACAUGCCUUAUUUUAUUCAUUGAAAAAUGCUUAUAUCAAAAUAUGGAACCUCCUUAUCUGAUACAAAUGCUCUUGAGUGCCCCUAUUGGUCUGAGAUGUCUGUUUCAGGAAUUUUGAGAUUCCCUGGCUAUUGCUUUUUUCAUUGUAUUUUGAGUGACAUUCUGUAUAUCUUGCUUUGAUGCAUGCACGCUUGUGAAACCUACUCCGUUCGGAGAUUUGACUUCUAGUGUUGGUUACAGGUUAAGCACGAGGAUUUCUAUACAAUUGCAAUUGAUGAACUAGAAUCUGUUACCAUGAGAUACAAAUUCAGGUCAAUGAUGAGAGGUGCUGCUGUUCUUCUGUUUUGCUGUCUAUCUCUGAUAUAUUAACAGCUUGAUUUAUCAAGAUCUGUUUUAUACUGUUGUCAUGGUGUUCAUGUCCCAUGGACAUGGUUGUCUGGUCUUUCUAGCCCUUCUGCUUUCAUUUUUUGCUUCGAUUUGGUAAAUGUGUUUUUCUUUUUUUUCCCCUUUCGCACCGGUUUGCUAGGGUGGGGCGAUUGUUGAGUCGGGUCUAUUGUGAACUGGGUUAGAAUACUGCAUUUUGAGCAGCUUAUGUUUUCUCAAAUGCACAUUCAUCUUCUAUAUAUCUUACUCAAAUCGGUUCUCCCUGUUUUCCAGC